rnacentral:rRNA from 1 species
UAGUUGCAAGGUAUAGACCCGAAACCCGGUGAUCUAGCCAUGGGCAGGUUGAAGGUUGGGUAACACUAACUGGAGGACCGAACCGACUAAUGUUGAAAAAUUAGCGGAUGACUUGUGGCUGGGGGUGAAAGGCCAAUCAAACCGGGAGAUAGCUGGUUCUCCCCGAAAGCUAUUUAGGUAGCGCCUCGUGAACUCAUCUUCGGGGGUAGAGCACUGUUUCGGCUAGGGGGCCAUCCCGGCUUACCAAACCGAUGCAAACUCCGAAUACCGAAGAAUGUUAUCACGGGAGACACACGGCGGGUGCUAACGUCCGUCGUGAAGAGGGAAACAACCCAGACCGCCAGCUAAGGUCCCAAAGUCAUGGUUAAGUGGGAAACGAUGUGGGAAGGCAUAGACAGCCAGGAUGUUGGCUUAGAAGCAGCCAUCAUUUAAAGAAAGCGUAAUAGCUCACUGGUCGAGUCGGCCUGCGCGGAAGAUGUAACGGGGCUAAACCAUGCACCGAAGCUGCGGCAGCGACGCUUAGGCGUUGUUGGGUAGGGGAGCGUUCUGUAAGCCGUUGAAGGUGGCCUGUGAGGGUUGCUGGAGGUAUCAGAAGUGCGAAUGCUGACAUAAGUAACGAUAAAGCGGGUGAAAAGCCCGCUCGCCGGAAGACCAAGGGUUCCUGUCCAACGUUAAUCGGGGCAGGGUGAGUCGACCCCUAAGGCGAGGCCGAAAGGCGUAGUCGAUGGGAAACAGGUUAAUAUUCCUGUACUCGGUGUUACUGCGAAGGGGGGACGGAGAAGGCUAGGCUAGCCGGGCGACGGUUGUCCCGGUUUAAGCGUGUAGGGGGAGUGACCCGGUAAAUCCGGUUGCUUAUUCAACCCUGAGGCGUGAUGACGAUGCACCACGGUGCAGAAGUAGUUGAUGCCAAGCUUCCAGGAAAAGCCUCUAAGCAUCAGGUAACACAGAAUCGUACCCCAAACCGACACAGGUGGUCAGGUAGAGAAUACCAAGGCGCUUGAGAGAACUCGGGUGAAGGAACUAGGCAAAAUGGUGCCGUAACUUCGGGAGAAGGCACGCUGGCGCGUAGGUGAAGUCCCUUGCGGAUGGAGCUGAAGCCAGUCGCAGAUACCAGCUGGCUGCAACUGUUUAAUAAAAACACAGCACUGUGCAAACACGAAAGUGGACGUAUACGGUGUGACGCCUGCCCGGUGCUGGAAGGUUAAUUGAUGGGGUCAGCCGCAAGGCGAAGCUCUUGAUCGAAGCCCCAGUAAACGGCGGCCGUAACUAUAACGGUCCUAAGGUAGCGAAAUUCCUUGUCGGGUAAGUUCCGACCUGCACGAAUGGCGUAAUGAUGGCCAGGCUGUCUCCACCCGAGACUCAGUGAAAUUGAACUCGCUGUGAAGAUGCAGUGUACCCGCGGCAAGACGGAAAGACCCCGUGAACCUUUACUAUAGCUUGACACUGAACAUUGAGCCUUGAUGUGUAGGAUAGGUGGGAGGCUUUGAAGCGUGGACGCCAGUCUGCGUGGAGCCAACCUUGAAAUACCACCCUUUAAUGUUUGAUGUUCUAACUCGGCCCCAUAAUCUGGGGUGAGGACAGUGUCUGGUGGGUAGUUUGACUGGGGCGGUCUCCUCCCAAAGAGUAACGGAGGAGCACGAAGGUUAGCUAAUCACGGUCGGACAUCGUGAGGUUAGUGCAAAGGCAUAAGCUAGCUUGACUGCGAGAGUGACGGCUCGAGCAGGUACGAAAGUAGGUCUUAGUGAUCCGGUGGUUCUGAAUGGAAGGGCCAUCGCUCAACGGAUAAAAGGUACUCCGGGGAUAACAGGCUGAUACCGCCCAAGAGUUCAUAUCGACGGCGGUGUUUGGCACCUCGAUGUCGGCUCAUCACAUCCUGGGGCUGAAGUAGGUCCCAAGGGUAUGGCUGUUCGCCAUUUAAAGUGGUACGCGAGCUGGGUUUAGAACGUCGUGAGACAGUUCGGUCCCUAUCUGCCGUGGGCGUUGGAAGAUUGAGAGGGGUUGCUCCUAGUACGAGAGGACCGGAGUGAACGCACCACUGGUGUUCGGGUUGUCAUGCCAAUGGCACUGCCCGGUAGCUAAGUGCGGAAAAGAUAAGCGCUGAAAGCAUCUAAGCGCGAAACUUGCCUCGAGAUGAGUCUUCCCUGGGCCUUUAAGGNCCCUGAAGGAACGUUUAAGACUAAGACGUUGAUAGGCUGGGUGUGUAAGUGCAGCGAUGCAUUGAGCUAACCAGUACUAAUGAUCCGUGAGGCUUAACCUU